rnacentral:rRNA from 1 species
GACGAACCGUGCGAACGUUAUUCGUAAUCACUGGGCUUAAAGCGCGUGUAGGCGGAUGGGGACGUCGGUCGCUGAAAUCCCCCGGCUCAACCGGGGAACGGGCGCCGAAACGCCCCGUCUCGAGGGACGUAGGGGGACCUGGAACUUCCGGUGGAGCGGUGAAAUGCGUUGAGAUCGGAAGGAACACCUGUGGCGAAAGCGGCUCACUGGACCAUAACUGACGCUGAGGCGCGAAAGCUAGGGGAGCAAACAGG